rnacentral:rRNA from 1 species
CCUACGGGUGGCUGCAGUCGAGGAUCUUCGUCAAUGGGCGCAAGCCUGAACGAGCGAUGCCGCGUGAGCGAUGAAGGCCUUCGGGUUGUAAAGCUCAAAAGGGAUGAGAUCGAAUCCCAGUAAGCUCGGGCUAAGUUCGUGCCAGCAGCCGCGGUAAGACGAACCGAGCGAACGUUGUUCGGAAUCACUGGGCUUAAAGGGCGCGUAGGCGGGGUCGUUAGUCCGUGGUGAAAUCCUCCGGCUCAACCGGAGAACUGCCUCGGAUACUGCGGCUCUCGAGGGUGAUAGGGGUAUGCGGAACUAUCGGUGGAGCGGUGAAAUGCGUUGAUAUCGAUAGGAACUCCGGUGGCGAAGGCGGCAUACUGGUCCUUCUGACGCUGAGGCGCGAAAGCCAGGGGAGCAAACGGGAUUAGAUACCCUAGUAGUC